UAACACAGAAGAAGGUAAUGAAAAGAGUAACACAGAAGAAGGAAUUUGAAGUAACAAGAAGAAGGAAUUUGAAGAGAGUAACACAGAAGAAAGUAUUGAAAAGAGUAACACAGAAGAAGGUAUUGAAAAGAGUAACACAGAAGAAGGUAUUGAAAAGAGUAACACAGAAGAAGGUAUUGAAAAGAGUAACACAGAAGAAGGUAUUGAAAAGAGUAACACAGAAGAAGGUAUUGAAAAGAGUAACACAGAAGAAGGUAUUGAAAAGAGUAACACAGAAGAAGGUAUUGAAAAGAGUAACACAGAAGAAGGUAUUGAAAAGAGUAACACAGAAGAAGGAAUUUGAAAAGAGUUACACAAGAAGAAGGAAUUUGAAGAGAAAUAACACAAGAAGAAGGAAUUUGAAGUAACACCAGAAGAAGGAAAAUGCAGAGAAGUAACACAGGAAAAUGAAAAUGGAAAUGAAAAGAAUCAUCCACCUUUCGGCCCAAACCAACAUCACAAAAUUAUGGGCGAGUCUCUUCUGGGAGGAAAGUGGCUCGUUCAGAGCCAGGAACAUCAGAAAGGAUGAUAGAAACAUCAAGAAAAGGAAAAGAGAAAAAUCAUCCAGCUUUCGGCCCAAACUAACAUCACUAAAUUAUGGGCGAGUCUCUUCUGGGAGGAAAGCGGCUCGUUCAGACCCAGGAACAUCAGAAAGGAUGAUAGGAACAUCAAGAAAAGGAAAACAAAAAAGUCAUCCAGCUUUCGGCCCCUGGAGCCGCAGGGUGGGUGACGGGUGAAUCUCCUCUGGGGAGAAGGAGGCUAACCCACAC